UCCCUGGUGGUGCAGUGGGUUAAGGAUCCAGCAUUGUCACUGCUGUGGUAUAGGUUCAAUCCCUGACCCAGGAA
rnacentral:tRNA from 1 species